AUGAAGAACGUAGCGAAAUGCGAUAAGUAAUGUGAAUUGCAGAAUUCAGUGAAUCAUCGAAUCUUUGAACGCACCUUGCGCUCCUUGGUAUUCCGAGGAGCAUGCCUGUUUGAGUGUCAUGAAAUUCUCAACCUUUUCAGCUUUCUUUGUUGAUCAGGCUUGGAUGUGGGAGUAUGCGGGCUUCUCAGAAGUCGGCUCUCCUGAAAUGCAUUAGCGGGACCUUUGUUGCCUGGCUUUGGUGUGAUAAUUAUCUACGCCAUUGUAGUCAAGCAGCUUAAAAUGAGGUUUCAGCUUCUAACCGUCUCCCCUGAGACAACUUUUUGACAAUUUGACCUCAAAUCAGGUAGGACUACCCGCUGAACUUAAGCAUAUCAAUAAGCGGAGGA
rnacentral:misc_RNA from 1 species